AUUGAGCAGACAAUGUCCAGUUGUCAUGCCUGCUACCAGUGCUAUGUUGGGUCUGCUUUGUAACAGUAAUUGUGUUGUUUUCUUCUUGUCGAAUGACUUUAGGGUAAGGGGUAGGUCAAUAAGGGUUGAUAAUGAUAAUGAUGAUUCCCACGGGGAACGGGAACUACGCGGAAAAUACGCUUGUGAAACAGCAGGGCAUCGGCUUGUUAUUUAUAACUGCAAUAAAAAUUCCUCGUAAUAAGCAAACAAGUUACAAUGGGCUUGAGGAAGCUAUGAAGGCCGUUUUACUCGAUUGUGUUUAUAAAAGAACGAUGGUGAUGAAGAAUGAACGAUGGUGAUGACGUCGAAAAGCAAGAUGUCUCGAUAAGAAAUUUACUCUCACACUUCAGUCGGUGGUAGGAAAAGUUUAUCGAACAAAGUCUAGGCGGAAUAUCUUUCUGCCUGAUAGAAUGACGCAACAAUUUGUCGAGUGUAACGUAUAGUGGCGAUCUGCUGGCUGAAAAAAACUAUCUCAGACUGGAAAUGAUGAUAAUUUGUGGAAUGUAACAAUGGUCUUGAAGUAUCUAUCAAUCAGUGACGACGCCAGCUGGAAUGUUGAUUUUCUGCUGGAGUGACGAAAAACAAACUGCAACACCUAUAUGUCACAUGUGUUUAGCCUCAAUAGCCUAACGAUAAGAGCGGUCGGACUCAUCACCGAGGGGUUGUGGUUCGAUCUCCACCCCAUUGGUUUAUUGUCGUACCCACUCCUAGCAGUCUUUCCCGACUAACUGGUGGGGAAUGGGAAAAAUGGUCAUAUUUAAAAAGAUAUGGCAAAUAUUCUUUUAAAAAAAUGACAGUGUUAGCGUAUUGCUGUCUUAUCCAUAUAUGAUACCAUGUAGUGUCCUUAUUUACUUGGUAACUAAAUGAGGACACUACAUGGUAUCAUAUAUUCUAAUGAUGCAGCUCAUAUAAUAAUGAUCGAACUUCACUUGGAAGUUCGUUUGAUCAUAUAAAGUUCUAUACUGGGCUAUGAACUUAUUGAGUUUAUUGUUUCCCAAUACAUCCUCAGUAGGAAAUAGUCUAAAUUAAAGGCCUACACUCCUGUGUUUAGAGAGCACAAUAGACUUUUGAACCCAGAAGAAGAAAUACUUCAUUGCACAGAAAAAUACACGAAAACAUGAAAUAUUAAUAAUUUAAACCAAGAUAUAACAUUGCUUUGCCCAGUGAUGGCAGUGAUAUUUGCCCAAACGUGUAAAACAGAAGAUAUGUUCCUUACAAGUAUUACUACGUGGACAAAUAUUAAUUAUUGUUAGAUGUCAUGUCCAAAUUAAUUAAAGCAUGUUAACUGUAUUAAAAAAAAAUUACUAACUCAAUAAUGCUCAUUUUUUUGUUAGUUAUGACAAAAAUAGUUUACAAAGAAAAAGAGGAAAGUAAAGAAAAAAAAAAUAAGUAAGUGAAAGAAUUUUGUAAAACAUCUUUAUUUUAUAUUAUAUUGAAGAAAAUUAAGUAUAUAUAUGAAUUUCUCGUUUAUGAUACAAUAUGUACAAUUUCAUUUUAAAUUUAACAGAAUAGAUUAAGACAUUAAUUAAUAAAAACAUUUAACCAAUUUAUAAAAAACAUUUAUAAAAAAAGAGCAAUAAAAUAUUAAAAACUA